ACGCUGGCGGCGUGCCUAAUACAUGCAAGUAGAACGCUGAAGAGAGGAGCUUGCUCUUCUUGGAUGAGUUGCGAACGGGUGAGUAACGCGUAGGUAACCUGCCUUGUAGCGGGGGAUAACUAUUGGAAACGAUAGCUAAUACCGCAUAACAAUGGAUGACACAUGUCAUUUAUUUGAAAGGGGCAAAUGCUCCACUACAAGAUGGACCUGCGUUGUAUUAGCUAGUAGGUGAGGUAACGGCUCACCUAGGCGACGAUACAUAGCCGACCUGAGAGGGUGAUCGGCCACACUGGGACUGAGACACGGCCCAGACUCCUACGGGAGGCAGCAGUAGGGAAUCUUCGGCAAUGGGGGCAACCCUGACCGAGCAACGCCGCGUGAGUGAAGAAGGUUUUCGGAUCGUAAAGCUCUGUUGUAAGUCAAGAACGAGUGUGAGAGUGGAAAGUUCACACUGUGACGGUAGCUUACCAGAAAGGGACGGCUAACUACGUGCCAGCAGCCGCGGUAAUACGUAGGUCCCGAGCGUUGUCCGGAUUUAUUGGGCGUAAAGCGAGCGCAGGCGGUUUGAUAAGUCUGAAGUUAAAGGCUGUGGCUCAACCAUAGUUCGCUUUGGAAACUGUCAAACUUGAGUGCAGAAGGGGAGAGUGGAAUUCCAUGUGUAGCGGUGAAAUGCGUAGAUAUAUGGAGGAACACCGGUGGCGUAAGCGGCUCUCUGGUCUGUAACUGACGCUGAGGCUCGAAAGCGUGGGGAGCGAACAGGAUUAGAUACCCUGGUAGUCCACGCCGUAAACGAUGAGUGCUAGGUGUUGGAUCCUUUCCGGGAUUCAGUGCCGCAGCUAACGCAUUAAGCACUCCGCCUGGGGAGUACGACCGCAAGGUUGAAACUCAAAGGAAUUGACGGGGGCCCGCACAAGCGGUGGAGCAUGUGGUUUAAUUCGAAGCAACGCGAAGAACCUUACCAGGUCUUGACAUCCCGAUGCUAUUUCUAGAGAUAGAAAGUUACUUCGGUACAUCGGUGACAGGUGGUGCAUGGUUGUCGUCAGCUCGUGUCGUGAGAUGUUGGGUUAAGUCCCGCAACGAGCGCAACCCCUAUUGUUAGUUGCCAUCAUUCAGUUGGGCACUCUAGCGAGACUGCCGGUAAUAAACCGGAGGAAGGUGGGGAUGACGUCAAAUCAUCAUGCCCCUUAUGACCUGGGCUACACACGUGCUACAAUGGUUGGUACAACGAGUUGCGAGUCGGUGACGGCAAGCUAAUCUCUUAAAGCCAAUCUCAGUUCGGAUUGUAGGCUGCAACUCGCCUACAUGAAGUCGGAAUCGCUAGUAAUCGCGGAUCAGCACGCCGCGGUGAAUACGUUCCCGGGCCUUGUACACACCGCCCGUCACACCACGAGAGUUUGUAACACCCGAAGUCGGUGAGGUAACCUUUUGGAGCCAGCCGCCUAAGGUGGGAUAGAUGAUUGGG
rnacentral:rRNA from 1 species